rnacentral:piRNA from 1 species
UCGACGUAUGAUGCAAAGCAAUCUGAUGC